GUAAAAUUAGUUUAAUUUGGUAGAAUAACGUCUUGUGGCGACUGUAGUUCAGAGUUCGAGUCUCUGAUUUUACC